UACGUAGGGGGCAAGCGUUGUCCGGAAUCAUUGGGCGUAAAGCGCGUGUAGGCGGUCCGGUAAGUCCGCUGUGAAAGUCAAGGGCUCAACCCUUGAAUGCCGGUUGAUACUGUCGGGCUAGAGUCCGGAAGAGGCGAGUGGAAUUCCCGGUGUAGCGGUGAAAUGCGCAGAUAUCGGGAGGAACACCAAUGGCGAAAGCGACUUCCUGGACCAGUACCGACGUUCAGGCACGAAAGCGUGGGGAGCAAACAGG
rnacentral:rRNA from 1 species